rnacentral:tRNA from 1 species
AAGAUAUUAGUAUAAUCACUACGUAACUUUGUCAAAGUUAAAUCAUAGGUUCAACCCCUAUAUAUCUUC